GACGAACGCUGGCGGCGUGCUUAACACAUGCAAGUCGAACGGUGAAGCGCCUUCCUUUUUGGUGGGUGUGGAUGAGUGGCGCACGGGUGAGUAACACGUUAGUAACCUGCCCCCUUCUUCUGGAUAACCGCAUGAAAGUGUGGCUAAUACGGGAUAUUCUGGGUCUGUCGCAUGAUGGGUCUGGGAAAGAUAUUGUUUCGGUUGGGGAUGGGCUCGCGGCCUAUCAGCUUGUUGGUGGGGUGAUGGCCUACCAAGGCGGUGACGGGUAGCCGGCCUGAGAGGGUGGACGGUCACACUGGGACUGAGACACGGACCAGACUACUACGGGAGGCAGCAGUGGGGAAUAUUGCACAAUGGGAGCAAGCCUGAUGCAGCGACGCCGCGUGAGGGAUGGAGGCCUUCGGGUUGUGAACCUCUUUCGCCAGUGAAGCAGGCCUGCCUCGUUUGUGGGUGGGUUGACGGUAGCUGGAUAAGAAGCGCCGGCUAACUACGUG
rnacentral:rRNA from 1 species